GACGAACGCUGGCGGCGUGCUUAACACAUGCAAGUCGAACGGACAGGCCCUGAUUUUGUGGGGUGCACGUGUGGGGAACGGGUGUGUGACACGCGAGUAUCCUCCCCUUGACUUUGGGAUAACUUCUGGAAACUGGGGCUAAUACCGGAUAGGAGAUCCUGCUGCAUGGUGGGGGUUAGAAAGUUUCGGCGGUUGGGGAUGGAAUCGAGGCUUAUCAGCUUGUUGGUGGAGUAGUGGCUUACCAAGGCUUUGACGGGUAGCCGGCCUGAGAGGGUGACCGGCCACAUGAGGACUGAGAUACGGCCCAGACGCCUACGGGAGGCAGCAGUCGGGAAUAUUACGCAAUGGGGGGAAGCCUGAUGCAGCAACGCCGCGUGCGGGAUGACGUCCUUCUGGUUGUAAACCGCUUUCGCCUGAGACGAAGCGUGAGUGACGGUAAUGGGUAAAGAAGCACCGGCUAACUACGUG
rnacentral:rRNA from 1 species